rnacentral:siRNA from 1 species
GGAGUGGCAUAGUCGUGUUCUAC